UGGGAGGUGCGGGUGCUAUACAUGCAAGUUGAGCGCUGAAGGUUGGUACUUGUACCAACUGGAUGAGCAGCGAACGGGUGAGUAACGCGUGGGGAAUCUGCCUUUGAGCGGGGGACAACAUUUGGAAACGAAUGCUAAUACCGCAUAAAAACUUUAAACACAAGUUUUAAGUUUGAAAGAUGCAAUUGCAUCACUCAAAGAUGAUCCCGCGUUGUAUUAGCUAGUUGGUGAGGUAAAGGCUCACCAAGGCGAUGAUACAUAGCCGACCUGAGAGGGUGAUCGGCCACAUUGGGACUGAGACACGGCCCAAACUCCUACGGGAGGCAGCAGUAGGGAAUCUUCGGCAAUGGACGAAAGUCUGACCGAGCAACGCCGCGUGAGUGAAGAAGGUUUUCGGAUCGUAAAACUCUGUUGGUAGAGAAGAACGUUGGUGAGAGUGGAAAGCUCAUCAAGUGACGGUAACUACCCAGAAAGGGACGGCUAACUACGUGCCAGCAGCCGCGGUAAUACGUAGGUCCCGAGCGUUGUCCGGAUUUAUUGGGCGUAAAGCGAGCGCAGGUGGUUUAUUAAGUCUGGUGUAAAAGGCAGUGGCUCAACCAU
rnacentral:rRNA from 1 species